UGGGGAAUAUUGGACAAUGGGCGCAAGCCUGAUCCAGCCAUGCCGCGUGAGUGAUGAAGGCCCUAGGGUUGUAAAGCUCUCUCACCGGUGAAGAUAAUGACGGUAACCGGAGAAGAAGCCCCGGCUAACUUCGUGCCAGCAGCCGCGGUAAUACGAAGGGGGCUAGCGUUGUUCGGAUUUACUGGGCGUAAAGCGCACGUAGGCGGACUUUUAAGUCAGGGGUGAAAUCCCGGGGCUCAACCCCGGAACUGCCUUUGAUACUGGAAGUCUUGAGUAUGGUAGAGGUGAGUGGAAUUCCGAGUGUAGAGGUGAAAUUCGUAGAUAUUCGGAGGAACACCAGUGGCGAAGGCGGCUCACUGGACCAUUACUGACGCUGGGGUGCGAGAGCGUGGGGAGCAAACAGG
rnacentral:rRNA from 1 species